rnacentral:rRNA from 1 species
AGUCGAGCGGGGGAGUUGCUUCGGUAACUGACCUAGCGGCGGACGGGUGAGAAAUGCUUAGGAAUCUGCCUAUUAGUGGGGGACAACAUCUCGAAAGGGAUGCUAAUACCGCAUACGUCCUACGGGAGAAAGCAGGGGACCUUCGGGCCUUGCGCUAAUAGAUGAGCCUAAGUCGGAUUAGCUAGUUGGUGGGGUAAAGGCCUACCAAGGCGACGAUCUGUAGCGGGUCUGAGAGGAUGAUCCGCCACACUGGGACUGAGACACGGCCCAGACUCCUACGGGAGGCAGCAGUGGGGAAUAUUGGACAAUGGGGGGAACCCUGAUCCAGCCAUGCCGCGUGUGUGAAGAAGGCCUUUUGGUUGUAAAGCACUUUAAGCGAGGAGGAGGCUACCGAGAUUAAUACUCUUGGAUAGUGGACGUUACUCGCAGAAUAAGCACCGGCUAACUCUGUGCCAGCAGCCGCGGUAAUACAGAGGGUGCAAGCGUUAAUCGGAUUUACUGGGCGUAAAGCGCGCGUAGGUGGCCAAUUAAGUCAAAUGUGAAAUCCCCGAGCUUAACUUGGGAAUUGCAUUCGAUACUGGUUGGCUAGAGUAUGGGAGAGGAUGGUAGAAAUUCCCGGGUGUAGCCGGUGAAAUGCGUAGAGAUCUGGAGGAAUACCGAUGGCGAAUGCAGCCAUUCUGGGCCUAAUACUGACACUGAGGUGCGAAAAGCAUGGGGGAGCAAACCAGGAUUAGAUACCC